rnacentral:tRNA from 1 species
GGAUUGUGGCUCAGCGGUAGAGUACUCGCCUCGAACGAGCGGGAUCCGGGUUCGAUCCUCAGCACCA